rnacentral:lncRNA from 1 species
AUUUCAUUGGAGAUCUUAAUGGCAAAAUGUUCACGUGUUGCCUGCCGAGGUCCCGAGGCUGCAGGUGGAAGAAGGCGCGCCUUGAGGGCGCUGUCCCCUGCUGGGGAUUUCAUGUCAGGGCUCCCCACCGCCUCUGGCCAUUUGGUCGGAAGGACAGAAAGGUGACACCAGGAGGCCCAGAGCCGGCCACCCAGCCCCACUUGCUCUGAUGACCUGUGUAGCCCCAGAAGGCCACAGAGGACAUGGAGAAGCAACUGGCGGACGUGCCCUCCUCCCUGACAGAGGGGGUGACCCCAAAGGCAUCCCAAGAAACAGGUGCUGGGGGUUGCCGGGCAAGACCUCCGACACCACGCGGACCACAGUCCCAGGUGGUCGUCCACUGGACAGUGGUCCAGGAGCCGGAGCCCAUGGAGGCCGAGGCCGAGGCUGCUCCACCACCUGAGGAGCUAGAGCCCGAUCUGGAGGGAGGGCUGGUGCCUGCAGUGACUUCAGGAGGAGACCAGGAGCCGGCAGGUGACCCGGCACCUGCCCACGGAGAGCCUGGUGCUGUCCAGGAAGAACUGGCACCUGCUCCUGCCCCUGCCCCUGCUGCAGUUCCUGCCACUCCCCCUUCCCCCACCCCAGCCCCUGCCCCUGCCUCGCACCCAGAUCCUGACCCUGCUCCUGCCCCUUCCCUUACCCCUGCCUCUGCCCCUGCCUGUGCUCUUGUUCCUGCCCCUGUCUGCGCUCUUGUUCCUGUUCCUGCCCCUGCCCCUGCCCCUGCUCCUGCUCCUGUCCCUGCCAGAGCCACUGUCCCUGACCCAGAUCCUACCCUUGCUCCUGCCCCUGUCCGUACUCCUGCCAGAGCCACUGCCCCUUCCCCUGCCAGUGGUCCUGUUCCUCCCCCUGACCCAGAUCCUGUCCCUGCUCCUGCCCUGGAUCCUGCACCUGCCACUACUGCUGACCCUGUCCCUCCCCUUGCCUCUGCCCCUGCCCCUGCUCUUACCUCUGUCCCUGCCCCUGUCCCUGCCCCUAUCCUGAGCCCUGCCCCUAUUCCUGCUCCUGCAGGGCUCCCAGAGCCACAUUCAGAGUCCACAGCCCUGCAGGGAGAGCUCCUUGUACAAUCACCCUUAGUUCCAUCGCCGGAACCCGAGACCCCGCCCGAUUGUUUCAUCCCCUCCCCCUGUGUUCUUUCUCUCUGGUACAUAUUAACUGUUAUUUUAUCCUUCCAUGUCCUAUAUGCUGUUUAUUAUUUGUUUUAAAUAAAAUUACUUGUUUUCAAUUGAACAUGUCUUGAGCAUUAAGUACAUGCCCAACACUGU